UAGGUGGGCUGGGGGUGAUGGGUAACUCCUUGAGUGCUUCCAGGCAGCGCUGCAGCACUUUGGCUGGAUGCGGGCAGGAUCGGUGCCAGGCAUGUCCCGCUCUGCGCAGCAUCAGCCCGUGAGGGGCCAAGAGAAACGGCACAGCCCUUCCUAGAAAUGCGCUCGGGAGCUUAAAAGAAUGGACCUAAUUGAAAAAAAACACCACCCCGGGGUUGUACCAGGGGAUAAAAGGGAAAGCUGGGCUGAGAUUAACCUGGAGCUCAGCGAGCCGAGCCGCGCGGCGCCCGUGGCCAGGUCCCUAAGCCAGUGCCCAGCCUCGACCUCCCGCUGAAUCCAUGCCCGGCAGGAAGGAGGUUUGCUCUGGAUGCAGGUCUGGCAGGAGAGCCCGGCACGCUCUGGGGUUGUGCUUCAGCACCAGAGGUGAGGACUGGCAGCAGGGCUGGAAAACUGGAUCCUGCUAAGAGGAUGAAAACAUGGGACUCAAGUUAUCCUGCCUGAAAGGCUUGAAGAUGUGUGUGAGCAGCGGGAACAGCAGCGACAGGACCUCAGGGACGUCCCAGAGUGACAAGCACCUGCCUGUGCCUGCCAUCAUCGUCACGCCACCCACGCCGACAGGGACCAUGCUGGCCCGUGAGGCUCGGCGGGUCGAGGGGCCACCGCCGUGCAGCCAGUGCUGAGCAUGGGGA